rnacentral:rRNA from 1 species
GAUGAACGCUGGCGGUAUGCCUAACACAUGCAAGUCGUACGAGAGUUUUUAACUCUAGUGGCGGACGGGUGAGUAACACGUGAGAAUUUGCCUUUAGGAGGGGGAUAACAAUUGGAAACGAAUGCUAAUACCCCAUAUGCUUUUGAGUGAAAUGGAUUUUAUCCGCCUAGAGAGAAGCUCGCGGCUGAUUAGCUUGUUGGUAAGGUAAGAGCUUACCAAGGCGACGAUCAGUAUCUGGUUUGAGAGGACGAUCAGACACACUGGAACUGAGACACGGUCCAGACUCCUACGGGAGGCAGCAGUGGGGAAUUUUCCGCAAUGGGCGAAAGCCUGACGGAGCAAUACCGCGUGAGGGAAGAAUGCCUAUGGGUUGUAAACCUCUUUUUUCAGGGAGGAAUCAAAUGACGUGUACCUGAAGAAUAAGCAUCGGCUAACUCCGUG